rnacentral:rRNA from 1 species
AUUGAACACUGGCGGCAGGCUUAACACAUGCAAGUCGAGCGGGGUGAUGGUGCUUGCACUAUCACUUAGCGGCGGACGGGUGAGUAAUGCUUAGGAAUCUGCCUAUUAGUGGGGGACAACAUCUCGAAAGGGAUGCUAAUACCGCAUACGUCCUACGGGAGAAAGCAGGGGAUCACUUGUGACCUUGCGCUAAUAGAUGAGCCUAAGUCGGAUUAGCUAGUUGGUGGGGUAAAGGCCUACCAAGGCGACGAUCUGUAGCGGGUCUGGGAGGAUGAUCCGCCACACUGGGACUGAGACACGGCCCAGACUCCUACGGGAGGCAGCAGUGGGGAAUAUUGGACAAUGGGGGGAACCCUGAUCCAGCCAUGCCGCGUGUGUGAAGAAGGCCUUAUGGUUGUAAAGCACUUUAAGCGAGGAGGAGGCUCUUUUGGUUAAUACCCAAGAUGAGUGGACGUUACUCGCAGAAUAAGCACCGGCUAACUCUGUGCCAGCAGCCGCAGUAA